rnacentral:ncRNA from 1 species
AUUGCUGGGGGAACUCAUAGUUGAGUUGAGAUAGGCUUUGCCUGACCCUUUGAACCUGUUGGUUAAUGCCUGCGUAGGGAAAGCUAUAA